rnacentral:rRNA from 1 species
GCUAAUACCGCAUAACAAUUUGAAUCGCAUGAUUCAAAUUUAAAAGAUGGCUUCGGCUAUCACUUUGGGAUGGACCUGCGGCGCAUUAGCUUGUUGGUAGGGUAACGGCCUACCAAGGCUGUGAUGCGUAGCCGAGUUGAGAGACUGAUCGGCCACAAUGGAACUGAGACACGGUCCAUACUCCUACGGGAGGCAGCAGUAGGGAAUCUUCCACAAUGGGCGCAAGCCUGAUGGAGCAACACCGCGUGAGUGAAGAAGGGUUUCGGCUCGUAAAGCUCUGUUGUUAGAGAAGAACGUGCGUGAGAGCAACUGUUCACGCAGUGACGGUAUCUAACCAGAAAGUCACGGCUAACUACGUGCCAGCAGCCGCGGUAAUACGUAGGUGGCAAGCGUUAUCCGGAUUUAUUGGGCGUAAAGCGAGCGCAGGCGGUUUGAUAAGUCUGAUGUGAAAGCCUUUGGCUUAACCAAAGAAGUGCAUCGGAAACUGUCAGACUUGAGUGCAGAAGAG